GCCUGGGUGGCUUAGUCGGUUGAGCAUCCGACUUCGGCUCAGGUCAUGAUCUCACAGCUCGUGGGUUCGAGCCCCGUGUCGGGCU
rnacentral:tRNA from 1 species